rnacentral:rRNA from 1 species
AUUGAACGCUGGCGGCAUGCCUUACACAUGCAAGUCGAACGGUAACAGGUCUUCGGAUGCUGACGAGUGGCGAACGGGUGAGUAAUACAUCGGAACGUGCCCGAUCGUGGGGGAUAACGAAGCGAAAGCUUUGCUAAUACCGCAUAAGAUCUAAGGAUGAAAGCAGGGGACCGCAAGGCCUUGCGCGAACGGAGCGGCCGAUGGCAGAUUAGGUAGUUGGUGGGAUAAAAGCUUACCAAGCCGACGAUCUGUAGCUGGUCUGAGAGGACGACCAGCCACACUGGGACGGAGACACGGCCCAGACUCCGACGGGAGGCAGCAGUGGGGAAUUUUGGACAAUGGGCGAAAGCCUGAUCCAGCCAUGCCGCGUGCAGGAUGAAGGCCUUCGGGUUGUAAACUGCUUUUGUACGGAACGAAAAGACUCUUUCUAAUAAAGAGGGUCCAUGACGGUACCGUAAGAAUAAACACCGGCUAACUACGUGCCAGCCGCCGCUGUAA